rnacentral:rRNA from 1 species
UACAGAGGUCUCAAGCGUUGUUCGGAUUCAUUGGGCGUAAAGGGUGUGUAGGUGGCGCGCUAAGUCGGGUGUGAAAUUUCGGAGCUUAACUCCGAAACUGCAUUCGAUACUGCCGUGCUUGAGGACUGGAGAGGAGACUGGAAUUUACGGUGUAGCGGUGAAAUGCGUAGAUAUCGUGAAGGAAGACCAGUGGCGAAGGCGGGUCUCUGGACAGUUCCUGACGCUGAGGCACGAAGGCCAGGGGAGCAAACGGG